rnacentral:misc_RNA from 1 species
AAGUCGUAACAAGGUUUCCGUAGGUGAACCUGCGGAAGGAUCAUUAAUGAAUGAUAAUUUUUUGGGGUUUUCCCUGAAAAAUAAUUCACCUUUUGUGCAUUGUUAUUAGAUAUACUUUGGUUAGAGCUUUGAUUUCAUUUAUUGGAAUCAACUUCUUGCUGACUCUAUCCUAUUGUAUGGGACAGUUGGCUAUGAAGCGGCCUACCAAGGUUUUUUUUAUCAAACUCUUGUAUUUUGUCUGACCUAAAAACAAAUAAUUAAAUCAUAACUUUCAACAACGGAUCUCUUGGCUCUC